UACGAAGGGGGCAAGCGUUGUUCGGAAUUACUGGGCGUAAAGGGCGCGUAGGCGGCUUACCAAGUCAGGCGUGAAAUUCCCGGGCUCAACCUGGGGGCUGCGCUUGAUACUGGUGAGCUUGAAUGCGGGAGAGGAUAGUGGAAUUCCCAGUGUAGAGGUGAAAUUCGUAGAUAUUGGGAAGAACACCGGUGGCGAAGGCGGCUCUCUGGACAGGUACUGACGCUGAGACGCGAAAGCGUGGGUAGCAAACAGG
rnacentral:rRNA from 1 species